rnacentral:lncRNA from 1 species
CAGCCUCCCAAAGUGCUGGGAUUACAGGCGUGAGCCACCGUGCCUGGCCCAGGGGAAAAAUUUUCAACAGGAAGACCUCAGAUCUGAGACAAGAAGAAAUGGCUCAGGGAUAGGAAAACAGGCACAAACAUUUGAGGAGAGAGGGUUAGGGAACAGGCUGAGGGAAUUCUACCUAAGCUCUCCCUGCUUCCCCUUUUCCCUUUUCUGAGAAAGCUAAGAUGUUUGAAAAAACUAUAAAGGUCAUGGAGAAGAUGAGAGGGGACUCAUAAAAGAGAAAGAAAAGUGCUAUUGCUAAGCCAGCAGAGUGGCACAUGUGUAUAGUCCCAGCUACUCUGGAGUCUGAGGCAGGAACGAUUUCUUGAGGCCAAGAGCUUGAGUCCAGCUGGAGCAACAUAGCAAGAUCUCUGUCUCUUACGAAAAAAAAAAAAAAAAAAAAAGGUAGAAGAUAUGAUCAGCUAAACUACUUUUCACAGCCUCCAUGGCAGCUGAACACGAAACUCCUAGAAAGGCUUCUUAAGAGAAGCAUAGCCAGAUUGCAUGAACUCUUUUUUACUUUUGUCCCUUUCCCUUGCUUCUUACCUGGAACUCAGACAUGGUGGCUGGAGCUCCAGCAACCACCUUGGACCAUAAGAACACCUUAAAGAUAGAAGCAUGCUACAAAUUGCACAGUAGGAAUGUAAGAAGAGGCUGGGUCUCUGAUAAGUAUGGUACCACCCUAUGGGGUACAGAUCCAUUAACCCUCAAAUUUCUUUUACUUGAGACAAAAACAGUUAAAGAUCAUGUUAUUUUUGUUGUUUGUUACUAGCUACCAAUGUAAGUUCCAACAGAGGUACAGCUAUUAAUGGU